CCUACGGGAGGCAGCAGUGAGGAAUAUUGGUCAAUGGACGAGAGUCUGAACCAGCCAAGUAGCGUGAAGGAUGACUGCCCUAUGGGUUGUAAACUUCUUUUAUAUGGGAAUAAAAUGUUCCACGUGUGGGUUUUUGUAUGUACCAUAUGAAUAAGGAUCGGCUAACUCCGUGCCAGCAGCCGCGGUAAUACGGAGGAGCCGAGCGUUAUCCGGAUUUAUUGGGUUUAAAGGGAGCGUAGGUGGAUUGUUAAGUCAGUUGUGAAAGUUUGCGGCUCAACCGUAAAAUUGCAGUUGAAACUGGCAGUCUUGAGUACAGUAGAGGUGGGCGGAAUUCGUGGUGUAGCGGUGAAAUGCUUAGAUAUCACGAAGAACUCCGAUUGCGAAGGCAGCUAACUGGACUGCAACUGACACUGAGGCUCGAAAGUGUGGGUAUCAAACAGGAUUAGAUACCCCGGUAGUC
rnacentral:rRNA from 1 species